ensembl:lncRNA
GAGAGAGCAAUGAAUGACCGAAGGCCCGCGCGCAGUCCGCCGGGUUUAGCUCGGGGAGCGCGUGCUGCACGACCCCUCCGUCCCGAAGUGACAACCGCCACAAAGCGUACCGCUAUUCCGUCCAUCGUGUCUGUCCCUUUCGCAGACUACUGACAUAAUGACCAGAACGCCGGUGCCCACGCAGUCCCGCUAGACCACAUAAAUAAUAUGUGGAGGGGAUCUUAAUGUCAGCAUCCUGGAAGUAGAAAGCACAGAAGAUCUGUGUGUGACACCACAGACAGGGGCAGAGUGUAGCCGAGGCGACGCAGGGGGAGGAAGCUCCCGGGGGGAGGUGGUGCAGCGGCACGACCCCCCGGCUGUGGAUGUGCUAGGUGUCGACCCUCUGGCUGCACAGAAUGUGGCUGGGUUGUCACCUCAGCAUGCCCCGCAGCCGGUCGCAGCUGCCCCCUUCCCAGCCCCACUGUUGGUCCACGCGCCCACGCUGCCCACGCCAGAGAGCGACGUCCCGGCGGCCCUCGGUGCGGAGAGGGACCCUGCGUCCAACACACCCCACACUGUUUCCCAAGGCUCUGAGGAAGGCCUUCCAGAAGAGCGGCUCAAGGCUUCUCCGGAGAGCGUCCAAGGUGGAGGCUCCGCUCCAAUACCCCCCUCUGAGAACUGCAGCCCCUCUGCCGGCCUGCAGAGGAGCCCCCUUCCCCUCA